AGAUACUGGAGCAUAUUUCAUAGUUAAAAACAGAAAAUCAUGCCAUCCCUAUUAAUUUGCUACCUUUGUACACCAAUACAAGACAUUGAACUGCAAAGACGCCUUACAAUAGUUUGCAGAUGGAGCAGGU